GUUGGGGUGGCAGAGCCUGGUAAAAUGCAAAAGACCUAAGCCCUUUUUACAGAGGUUCAAGUCCUCUCCUUAACU
rnacentral:tRNA from 3 species